rnacentral:lncRNA from 1 species
CAACAAACAAAGAAAUCGGAAACACAACUGAAUUUGAAACUCGAGAAAGUACCCAAAAGAAUGAAUCAAACAAAAAAAAAAACCCAACUCACGAUCUAGAUGUAGCAAUCUCGAAAUCCAUAAAAAGCUCCAAACAAACUCUUCAAUGGACCAGAAAAAUCGCUAAAUGGGAUGCCAAAAACAAGGAUUGAAAGCCCUCGUUGUCUUUGGAGGAUCGUGAGAGAAAACAAGAGAAAAGAGAGAAGAAUCGAAUAUUGCAAUAGGUGUGUGGAGGAAGUGGAGAGGUGAUUUGCACGAAAAAUGGAGUCAAAAAUCAAUGAAUGAAGAAAAUGUGUUAAACACACAGUAAUUUCUCGAGAGAGAGAGAGGAAAGAGAAAU